GAUGGCGUUGGUAACUGUAGCUGACGGUUCCCCGUGACCUUUAUUCUAGGGGGGGUUAGGGACGGUGGGAAAGCACGUUCGUCCCUGAAGCGCUGUUGAGGAUUAGGAUCGGAUUCCUCAAGAGUUGGGAGCAAUUAUCAGCGGCCUCCAGCCCCGCCAGACGCAGCUCGAGGAGAGAGAAUACACGCUACGACACCUGACACAGUGGACAUCGCAGUUGCGCGUACCCGAUCUGGGGGUUGCGGAGUUGCAAGUAGAGAAGAGGAACCCGAGCGUUCUCGACUUUGGGUUUCUCCGCGUGUGAAGUGGGAAUGAUAGUGUCAAAGGCAAGAAGGAGAAGGGGUUUAUUUGAGGCCCUGCGACGUGCUGAGGAAACCAAGGCCUAGAGAGAAGAAAUUAUCCAAAGUCUGAUAUCACCAGAAGACUUCCCAAGAACACACAGAUACUACAGAGUCCUAGUUAUCUAUGGUUGCAUAACAAACCAUUGCUGUGGCUUAAACGAUUUAUUUUGCUCUCGAAUUUCCAGUUUGGGUAGGGUUUAGUGGGGACAGCUCAUCUCUACUCCUCUGGACAACUUGAAGACUAAGAGCUGGAAUCAUCUGAGUGCUCAUUCAUUCAUAUGAUUAGCAAUUGAUGUUGGCUGUUGCCUGGAAUCUUUGCUGGGAUUAUCAACGCGAACAUCUGUAUGUGGCAUCUCCAUGUGGCCUAGCCUUCCUUACAACAUGUGACCAGAUUCCAAGGGUUUUCCCUGGUGGCGCAGUGGUUGAGAGCCCGCCUGUCUAUUCAGGGGACACGGGUUCGUGCCCCGGUCUGGGAAGAUCCCACAUGCCGCGGAGCGGCUAGGCCCGUGAGCCAUGGCCGCUGAGCCUGCGCGUCUGGAGCCUGUGCUCCGCAACGGGAGAGGCCACAACAGUGAGAGGCCCGCGUACCACACACAACACAAAAAAAGCCGCCAUCAAGAAGGAAUGUGGGGCUUUCCUGGUGGCACAGUGGUUGAGAAUCUGCCUGCCAAUGCAGGGGACAUGGGUUCGAGCCCUGGUCUGGGGAGAUCCCACAUGCCGCGGAGCAACUGGGCCCGUGAGCCACAGCUACUGAGCCUGUGCGUCUGGAGCCUGUGCUCCGCAACAAGAGAGACCGCAACAGUUGAGAGGCCUGCGCACCGUGAUGAAGAGUGGCCCCCACUCGCCGCAACUAGAGAAAGUCCUCACACAGAAAUGAAGACCCAACACAGCCAAAAAAAUAAAUAAAUUUAAAAAAAAAAAAGAAGGAAUGUGCCAGGAGUGCUAGUCUUAAAGAAGGGUAGGAGACGUGUAUGUCUGGCCAGAGCCUGUCAAAGAGAAGCCAGCACUGACUUUCAGAGCCUCAAAUAGGUGAUGAAUCAAGUAGGAAGAAAUUGAGAGGGCUCAGAAAAGGGCUUGUCCAUGGCCCAGAGG